rnacentral:lncRNA from 1 species
GUGAGAAAUGACCAUCAUAUUACCAAAUUCAUGGACCAUCCAGAAUGCCCUGGUCAAAGAAAAGGAUUCGGAGAAUUACAUUUUGACAAUAACUCUUUCAAGAAACUAUUUAAUAUACAUCAUCUACUUAAACACACACUGGACUUGGCAUCAGAGGAAAGGGAUUCAAAUCCUAGAGCUGCUACUUAAUGCCUUUGUGACCUUGGGGUCUUUCACAAAAUUACACUUGUAAAUAGAGCUCAUCAUAACCAUCAUCACCGCCAUCACUGCGGCAAGGUAAUGAAGAGAAAUGUGUUGGAUAAUGAGGAGAACAGCUACCAUUAGAGUAACGAAGAAAAACGAUCAGAAACGCAGCAAGAACGGCGCCGAUAUUAUUACCCGAUGUAAUUGACAUGAGGUAAUUGCUUUAUUUUUUUCCCUUCUUCAUUUUAGCUUUGCAGAUGACUUCAGAAUUCUGUACGUCCAUCACUGAGUGGAAAUGGGGACUGGGGUAAUAAAUUAAAGAGACAAAGUAGCUUGGUUUUUUUG